rnacentral:lncRNA from 10 species
AGAUUAUUCUUCGGACUUGGACUCCGCUUUGGAUUGCCUUCUUUCAGCUUUGCUGCUUUGCUGAAGGCUGUGCAUCAGAGGUGCUUCUACCUGGGAGGACCUCCACCCCAUAACCUCUGUCACUCCCCAGACACUCUUUCUGCUCCAUAAUGACUGGUAGAAGAUGCCCUGGAUCUGCUAUACAGAAACAAAGAACAAGUAUCAAACUGGAUGUUAAACAGAAAUUGUAUGACCUUCAUGUUUCCUUCCAGGUAAUGAUCAUGAAAACAGAGGGUAAAGGUUGGCAGACAAUUAAGUGCCACUGAAGUCCUUUGACAUUAAGCAGGACAUCAUAAACAUAUUUUCAGUUUGGAGGGAUUUGACUAACAAUUCUGUAUCUGGAACAAAUGAUAGCUAUAGAUAUGAUACAACUCCAGGAGACUGGAAGAAAAUGUGAAAGCUAUUGGCAUUGUAGGAUGCUGGGACUGCGACUUUGUAAGAACUCUGUUAUAAUGAUCCGUAAAGGUGCUUUUCCAGUUAGAAAUGAAUGCGUGUUUUGCACUGAAAGAGGUAUGAAUGUACCCCAUAAUAUAUAACAUUACAUAACAUUUAGCCAAAACAAGUGGUCACUAACUGUUAGUUUCUUUAGCUUUCUACUAAGUCAAGUGUUAAUAUACCUACCAAUUUUGGAUUCCCACAGGGUACAAGACAGCAGCUAGACAGCCUUUUAAGCUAUCCUAGUAUAGUGAUAUUUGGAGACAACAAAUAUAGAACAAAAUAUUUGUUUUGCUUACUACCUUAUCCCUAGAGCAGUGUUUCUCAAUAGAGGCACUAUUGACAUUUGCAUUGGAUAAUUCUUUGUUGUGGGAAACUGUUCAAUGCAUAGUGGAUGCUUAGAGAAUGUUAGCCUGAUCUUGACUCACUAGAUGCCAGUAGUGUUUUCUCAGUUGUGAUAAUCAAAAAUGUCUCCAGCCACUGUCAGAUAUCCUCUAGACAGAAAAAUUCCCCACUGUUGAGAAACACGGAGUUACAACAUCAAAUAUAACAGACACUCAAGUGUUUGUUAAUGAAUAAAAAAUUGGAUGAAUGAAAUUUUUCCUGCUGUCCAUAUUCAUAUGAAUUUUUCAUUGUCUAAUAUAGCAAUAAUGCAGGAGAGGGGAAGGGAGUUAGAAAUUAGAUUUUAAAAGAGAGCAUUUUUGUUAGACACUAUACCUGGCCAACAGGAACAUGCAUUUGAAGUCUAAUCCUACGCAAACCAACAGAGAUCAUUCUAUCUUGUGAGCCCUUGAAUUACCUACCUACCGGAACUUCUCCCUGUUGGUGACUAAAAUUCCACCAAAGUAGAUGCUUUUUACUUUGAAGUUCCAUUUUCCUGAAGAGCUCUUUUAAAAAAUAAAUACACCAGGUAGAAUUAAUUGCUUAAUCCUUAUUGUUAACAAGAAAGGGAUCAUGCAUUUGAUUUUCUUCUACAUUACUAUGAGCACCGAGGGAGUCCUUGGGAUUUUGGAGAUUUUAGAGGUCACAUUGCAAAAAGGAGAUGGUAAAGGCAAACUUCACCAACAACUGAAUUUUAUCAAGUGGUUCUCACCAGUGUUAUUUGUUUAUUAAAUAAACACACAGUCUCUAGGAUACUUUCUUUGCAUGUUCCUUCUUCGAGGACAUGUAGAAAAUGUUAAAUACCCAAAUAUUCAAAAUCAUGAUACCCAGAAACUUGUUUGCUACUUUAAUUGCUAAUUUCAUGGUCGUCAUUCUUAAACAGUAGUAAAUUUGAAGACUAUACUUUCCAAUUUUGUAUUUCCAAAAUUGUUGAUAUCUGUGAAGAAUGAGUGCUAGAGCCUCUCAGAUUUGAUUCUAACAAGAAGUCUUAGCGAAGUCACAGUCUUUAAGCAUAAGCUGCUAAGGUGCUUUCUUCAGUACAGGCACUGGCAUCUGUUAUUCAAACCCUUGCUUGAGUUGAUUUCUGCUUAUUAUUCAUUAAAAUAUAUGUGUUAAAAUAAGCAUGCCCUGAUCUGAGCCUCUCACUUAGAUGUUGUUUCUCUCAUCUUUCCAGCAGGGUUGCAGUAAUCAUACCUACUAGAGAAUGAGGGCAUUUCCUUUGGUCAGUACGUAAUUACCAAGAUAGUCAUUACCAUCACUACAAAAGGCAGCAGGGAUGUUCUUCACAGAGAAAAAUUUGACAUGGAGCAAAUUGAGCUAUUCAUAGUGGUAGAGAGCUACCCUUCAAGCUAUCCAUAGGAUAGUGCAUUCAGUUCAAUUCAAUGUCCAUUUAUCAUAUACCUAUUGAUACUGAGGGGAGAAGAUUCAAUUAAAUAAAGCUACUUGCUGGGCAGAGGAGUAGAUUUCCUUUCUGAACAGUUAAAUGUUAUGGGCCAUUUUUUAUGUGUUCACUUACCUAGCCCUUGACAAAAUAAAAGCUAAUUAUGGCAAAAUUAAGAAGAUUUCACAAUCAGAGAUAUCAAUAUCUCUAUGGCUUCUCUGGGACAGGCACCACAUUAGUCUUUAAUGUUUUUGGAAGUCUUUCUAGACUUAUUCAUUGAUCUAUGUGAGAAAACUUUCUGAUGAAUGAUCUAGUAUGCAAAAUGUCCAUAGCAUUGGUAAAUAUCCUUACCUCCUGUAGCUGGUUUCUUUUAUAAUCUCUUUGUCUCAUGAAAAGAAAGGGCAAUUUAUAAUUUCUUAUUAAAUUUCUGGCUUGC